UUCUAAGGCAUUUGCCUCGACAGGCCCGAUCUCUUUCGAUGUUGGAAGCCAAACAGGCUUGCCCCAGGCUACUACUUGGCUGGGAGACUGCUUAGGAAUUCUGGGUGCUGUUGCUC
rnacentral:rRNA from 1 species